CGUUGAGACACCAGUUCUCGUACGAUCAACGAAGUUAAGCAACGUCGAGUCUUGUCAGUACAUAGAUGGCUGACCGCUUGGGAAUACCAGAUUCUGUAA